AUUGAACGAUGGCGGCAGGCUUAACACAUGCAAGUCGAACGAGUGGCGGACGGGUGAGUAAUGCUUGGGAAUCUAGCUUAUGGAGGGGGAUAACUACGGGAAACUGUAGCUAAUACCGCGUACAAUAGGAUGAGCCCAAGUGGGUUUAGGUAGUUGGUGGGGUAAAGGCUCACAAAGCCGACGAUCUCUAGAUGGUCCGAGAGGAUUACUAGCCACACUGAGACUUGGACACGGCCCAGACUCCUACGGGGGGCAGAAGUGGGGAAUAUUGCGCAAUGGGGGCAACCUGACGCAGCCAUGCCGCGUUAAUGAAGAAGGCCUUCGGGUUGUAAAGUUCUUUCGGUAGCGAGGCGUUAACUACAGAAGAAGCACCGGCUAACUCCGUGCCAGCAGCCGCGGUAAUUC
rnacentral:rRNA from 1 species